GUUGCAGUGAGCUGAGAUCACGCCACUGCACUCCAGCCUGAGUGACAGAGCGAGACUCUGUCUCAAAUAAUAAUAAUAAUAAUAAAUAAUUGCAUCUAAGUUGUGCACAAUGGCUCAUGCAUGUAAUCUCAGCACUUUGGGAGUCUGAGGUGGGCAGAUCGCUUGAGCCUAGGAGUUUGAGAUCAGCCUGGGCACCAUGGCAAGACUCCAUCUCCACAAAAAAUUAGCUGGGCAUGGUGGUAUGCACCUGUAGUCCCAGCUACCUGGGAGGUUGAGGUGGGAGGAUCACCUGAGCCCAGGAAGUUGAGGCUGCAGUGAGCUGUGAUUGAGCCACUGUACUACAGUCUGGGUGACAAAGUGAGACCCUGUCUCAAUAAUAGUAAUAGUAAUAAUAAUUGCAUCUAAUUUUCACGUCUGAGAAGAUUCUUUUAACUUAGGGCUAAAGCAAUCAAUGAUCCUUUUAAACGAGUGGUUCCUAAGCAUAUAUGCCAUAAUCAGACAUCUAGAACUGGAAAUGGACCAUCAGAUCAAAGUCCAUGAGGACUCCCACCAGCAUCAGUCUCCAAGAAUCUGUACGUGGCUCCCAGAGACUGAGACCAAGACACAUUAGCAGGAGGCAACUUAUUUGAGGAAGCACCAGAGCCAGUGCCCACAGGAAGAAUGGUCCACAGGUGCACUGGGGCCAGCACAGAUGACUGCAGCUAUGGGUCACGAGCAAUGGCAGGACAACUCAGCAGUCAAGAACCCAGCUACAGUGGAACAGUUUCUCUAAGAGCAUUCCCUGCCUUUCUUACAUCUGAAUCCUUGCCUCAGGCUCUGCUUCUAGGGAACUUCAUCCAAGACACAUUUCUGAACCAGUCAUUGAAGGAGUGGCUAAGUGUUUCUUAGGGACAAACCAGGGAGACAUUAAUCCUAGGAAGCAGUGUGUUUACUGGAUGGAACACAGGACUAUGGCACACUGAGAUCAAGCAUUAUUUUUGUCCCAUACUAGUGAUUGGAAGAGAAAGUCCAACCAGACUCAGCUCUGGACUUUGGUUCAUCACUGGGAGUGGAGAAGUGCUCGUCUUCCUUUCAUGUGAACAAAGAAGCCUGUGGGUCCAGAAACCUUUGAUAGUCAUCUUGGAACGACAGGGAGAGAAGCCUGCCAAGAAUGAAACCAACAAUGAAGAAGUAGAAUUGAGAAACAGAGAGAAACUUGGUCUUGAUCUCGUCAUUUUAGGAGCUAAAUGAAGACUGGCCUGCAGCUCUGGACUGUUCAAUUACAUGAACACUUAUAUUCCCUUAUUGCUUGAAACAGCCUGUUUUACUUAAUUUAAAAGAAUAUAUCAAGGUCAGGCUCAUGCCUGUAAUCCCUUUGGGAGGCCGAGGUGGGCAGAUCACUUGAAGCCAGGAGUUCAAGACCACCCUGGCCAACAUGGUGAAACAUACAAAAUAUAAAAAAUACAAAAAAUUACCCGGGUGUGGUGGCAGGUGCUGUAAUCCCAGUUACUCAGGAGGCAGCAUCAGGAGAAUCACUUGAGCCUGGGAGAUGGAGGUUGCAGUGACCCAAGAUAAUGCCACUGCACUCCGGCCUGUGUGACAGAACAUGAUUGUCUCAAAAAAAAAAUGUACAUGUUCUUCUCUUUUCCAUUUCGGUGUAUAUGACCUUCUCUAUAGUCAGCCGCAAGUAUCUACCAACCACUGGGGAUGGGAGUGGAGAUUAGUACUCCUAAAAAAAUGGAAUUAAUUUAGGAAAAAGAAGAGUCAAAGUUCAGCUUUUUACUUGGGUGCAGAAAGGGUAAAAAGGGGAGAUAGUGGAGUAAGCAGCCUUGAAUCAUGAUUUUAACCUUUAGGCAGAAAUUCCAUUAAGGCUAUUAAAUUGACUGUGAAGAAAGCUGAAAGUAGAGGGUCUUGGAUUCCACUCCCUGUUUGGAAAUAAGACAGGAGAAAGUCUCACAGGGUGGCUCUGCACCAAUACAGGAUGGCUAAAGCAGAGUGAAAGAGCAACAUGGCACAGAUAGAGUGAGACCUGAGUUGACAGUCCUGAUCUUAUUCAGGCUUUAGCAUGGUAUGGAAGGGAUCCAGAGGUUGCUGCAUGCACUGUUAUGUACUUAGAAAGUAGCUGAUGGUGCUAGCUAGUCUGGCAGAAGGUUAUCAUGGUGGCAACAAAGUGACCUUGUAGCCAAACCUGCAGGCAAAUUACCUGGGUUGCGAAUUCUCUGGGAGUCACAGCCAGACAUCAGGGGGAUCAACAGUGCCAGUGUCAACCAAGUAGGGACAGAGAUAAUCUGCCCUGUUGCGUUGGCUUGAGUUUCCCCAUCAAUGAUUCCUCAUGUGAUUUAAAAUGUUUUAAUUGUACUCAUAUUUUUUUCUGAGAGUACUGUGUACUAUGGGUGGUGACACACUUGACAUUUGUAUUUGCAUUUUUUAGCCCCCAAUUUUUUUUUUUAAAGACAAGGUCUUGGUCUGUGGUCCAGUCUGGAAUGCACUGGCAUGAUCCUAGCUCAUUGCAUCCUUGAACUCCUGUGCUCAAGUGAUCCUCCCACCUCAACCUCCUGAGUAGCUAGGACUACAGGUGUGUACCAUCACACCUGACUGUUUUUAAUUGCUUUAUUUUUUGUAGUGAUCAGGUCUUGCUAUGUUGCCCAGGCCAGUCUUGAAAUUCUGGUCUCAAGUGAUCCUCCUGCCUCAGCCUCCCAAAGUGCUGGGAUUACAGGUGUGAACCACCACACCUGGCCCAAGUUAACAUUUUUUUAUUGUGGCAAAAUAUGCAUAACAUAAAAUUUACCAUUUUCACCAUUUAAAAAUUUGUAAACUUCAUUUUAUUAUUUAAUGUGUAAGACUAAUAAAAAUACCAUGAAAAGCAAUUAGAAUCAUAAAUAUAGUAUUGUGGUGUUUUUUGUUUUUUUUGAGAUGGUGUCUCGCUCUGUUGCCCAGGCUGGAGUGCAAUGGCAUGGUCUCGACUCAUUGCAACCUCUGCCUGCUGGUUCAAGUGAUUCUCCUGCAUCAGCCUCCCAAGUAGAUGGGACUAUAGGUGCGUGCCACCACAUCUGGCUAGUUUUUGUAUUUCUAGUAGAGACAGGGUUUUACUAUGUUGGCGAGGGAGAUUCAAACUCCUGACCUCGUGAUCCACCUGCCUCGGCCUCCCAAAGUGCUGGGAUUAUAGGCGUGAGCCACAGCACCCGGCCUGUAAUGGUUUUUUCUAUGUAGACUUUGAAAUUCUUUGAUUAUUGCAUUAUAAACCAUUAAUCUAAGUAAUUAAGGAAACAUCCAGAGAAUUUUCUUUCACUAAAUGUUUAAAGGAGUUUCUUUUCUUUUAAUUUAGAUCGUAGUUGAAGGAGAUGGAGAAAGAGUAGGUCCUUUUUUUUUUUUUUUUUUUUUUUUGAGACAGUUUCGCUCUUGUCACCCAGGCUGGAGUGCAAUGGCGUGAUCUCAGCUCACUGCAACCUCUGCCUCCUGGGUUCAAGCAAUUAUCCUGCCUCAGCCUUCUGAGUAGCUGAGAUUACAGGCGCCCACUACCAUGGCUGGCUAAUUUUUGUAUUUUUAGUAGAGAUGGGGUUUCAUGAUGUUGGCCAGGCCGGCCUCAAACUCCUGACCACAGGUGAUUCUCCCGCCUUGGCCUCCCAAACUGCUAGGAUUGCAGGCAUGAGCCACCGCACCUAGUGAGCAGGUCCUUCUUAGAUUACUGAUUGAAAUUGCAGUGUAGACCCUUUCAUUUUCUUUUCAUAAUCUUCAAAUUUCUCAUACUGAGUGACAAAGAAUUUAUUCCUCCAG
rnacentral:lncRNA from 1 species